UACGUAGGGGGCAAGCGUUAUCCGGAAUUACUGGGUGUAAAGGGAGCGUAGACGGUAAUGUAAGUCUGGAGUGAAAGGCGGGGGCCCAACCCCCGGACUGCUCUGGAAACUAUGUUACUAGAGUGCAGGAGAGGUAAGCGGAAUUCCUAGUGUAGCGGUGAAAUACGUAGAUAUUAGGAGGAACACCAGUGGCGAAGGCGGCUUACUGGACUGUAACUGACGUUGAGGCUCGAAAGCGUGGGGAGCAAACAGG
rnacentral:rRNA from 1 species